GAUGCUCGUGAGAGUCACACACACACACACACACACUAAUAUAACACACUCCAGUGCUCACGUCACAGUGCCAUCAAAUAUAAUGUGUAAGACAGCACUCAGUAAACGCAGUUCCAAAUCCUUUAGGGUUAGGUAGAAUGGUAGAAACACUGAAACUAGCAUCUCCUUUUGUGUUCCACAGAACAAAGAAAGUCUUGGAUUUGGAACAAGGCGGCGGUGAGUAAAUGGCACAAUUUUCAUUUUUGGUUGAUCCCAUAAAAGUAUCCCAGAAAGGAUAAUUGUCUCAUCAUUGACUCACCCUCAUGCCAUCUCAAACUCGUUUGACUUUCUUUCUUCUGCAGAAUCACUGGAGAUAUGAUGUAAAUAUAUUGAUUAAAUGCAAGUCAAAGGGGCUCAACAGUGUCAAGCUGCAAUAAGGACAUGAAGCCAUCAUAAUAUGACUCUUCUGAAGAGAUACGACCAAAAUGCAGCUCCUUUUUUACUAUAAAUCUUGUCAUCUGCAGUCUCAUUGGCACGAUCGUGAUUUUAAGCUUGUUCACACACUUCCUCAUGCUUGACGCAGAGUUCCAGGUUUGCGGUUAUCCAGGUUCAAUAGGAUAUCAGACCUGGUAACCAUCUGCAGUGUCAGCGAAUCACAAGAAUGCCAAGAUUUAUAAUGAAUAAUGACUAAUAAAUUUGACUGGAUCAUGCAGAGUGCUAAACAGUGCGGCACAGACCACACAACCUGAAACAAACCCAGGAAGUAUUUUGUACUAUGGAGAAUCUCAUAAGGCCAGACAGACAGCUCUUGAUUGUCUUCAGAUAUCCCAAGAGAUGACAUAAAACAACAUUUAAAACAAAUCAUAACAAGAUCCAAAAUUAAAAUUACAUGAUCAAACCUUAUAACAUACAGUGGCAAGAAAUAGUAUGUGAAUUACCUGCAUUUAUUUAAAAUCUGAAACAAUAAUGAACAAACACAAAAUUCAAACAUUCACAGUGCUGUGGAGAAAGUAAGUGAACCCCAUAGGCUAAUGAUGUCAACAAAAGCUAAUUAGAGUGAGGAGUUGGCAAACCCGGCAUCCAAUUAAUGUAACAAGAUUGUAGGCAAACUCAAACAUUUUGAGUUUGCUCUUCACAUGAAGCAUCUGAUGACGUGCACUGAAAGAGAUCUCAGAAGACCUGCGAUCAAGAAUUGUUGCUUUGCAUAAAGCUGGAAAGGGUUAAAUUGAUCUGGAAGAGCUUAAAUAUUCAUUGUCCACGGUUAGACAAACUGUCUAUAAAUGGAGAUGAUUUAGUACUAUAGGUACUCUCACUAGAAGUGGCCGUUAGAUAUUCAUCUGUCCACAGUGAGACAAACUGUCUAUAAAUGGAGAUGAUUUAGUACUAUAGGUACUCUCUCUAGAAGUGGCCGUUAGAUAUUCAUCUGUCCACAGUUAGACAAACUGUCUAUAAAUGGAGAUGAUUUAGUACUAUAGGUACUCUCUCUAGAAGUGGCCGUUAGAUAUUCAUCUGUCCACAGUUAGACAAACUGUCUAUAAAUGGAGAUGAUUUAGUACUACAGGUACUCUCUCUAGAAGUGGCCGUUAGAUAUUAAUCUGUCCACAGUUAGACAAACUGUCUAUAUAUGGAGAUGAUUUAGUACUAUAGGUACUCUCACUAGAAGUGGCCGUUAGAUAUUCAUCUGUGCACAGUUAGACAAACUGUCUAUAAAUGGAGAUGAUUUAGUACUAUAGGUACUCUCACUAGAAGUGGCCGUUAGAUAUUCAUCUGUACACAGUUAGACAAACUGUCUAUAAAUGGAGAUGAUUUAGUACUAUAGGUACUCUCUCUAGAAGUGGCCGUUAGAUAUUCAUCUGUUCACAGUUAGACAAACUGUCUAUAAACGGAGAUGAUUUAGUACUAUAGGUACUCUCACUAGAAGUGGCCGUUAGAUAUUCAUCUGUCCACGGUUAGACAAACUGUCUAUAAAUGGAGAUGAUUUAGUACUAUAGGUACUCUCAAUAGAAGUGGCCGUUAGAUAUUCAUCUGUCCACAGUUAGACAAACUGUCUAUAAAUGGAGAUGAUUUAGUACUAUAGGUACUCUCUCUAGAAGUGGCCGUUAGAUAUUCAUCUGUUCACAGUUAGACAAACUGUCUAUAAACGGAGAUGAUUUAGUACUAUAGGUACUCUCACUAGAAGUGGCCGUUAGAUAUUCAUCUGUCCACAGUUACACAAACUGUCUAUAAAUGGAGAUGAUUUAGUACUAUAGGUACUCUCACUAGAAGUGGCCGUUAGAUAUUCAUCUGUCCACAGUUACACAAACUGUCUAUAAAUGGAGAUGAUUUAGUACUAUAGGUACUCUCACUAGAAGUGGCCGUUAGAUAUUCAUCUGUCCACGGUUAGACAAACUGUCUAUAUAUGGAGAUGAUAUAGUACUAUAGGUACUCUCACUAGAAGUGGCCGUUAGAUAUUCAUCUGUCCACGGUUAGACAAACUGUCUAUAAAUGGAGAUGAUUUAGUACUAUAGGUACUCUCAAUAGAAGUGGCCGUUAGAUAUUCAUCUGUCCACAGUUAGACAAACUGUCUAUAAAUGGAGAUGAUUUAGUACUAUAGGUACUCUCUCUAGAAGUGGCCGUUAGAUAUUCAUCUGUUCACAGUUAGACAAACUGUCUAUAAACGGAGAUGAUUUAGUACUAUAGGUACUCUCACUAGAAGUGGCCGUUAGAUAUUCAUCUGUCCACAGUUACACAAACUGUCUAUAAAUGGAGAUGAUUUAGUACUAUAGGUACUCUCACUAGAAGUGGCCGUUAGAUAUUCAUCUGUCCACAGUUAGACAAACUGUCUAUAUAUGGAGAUGAUAUAGUACUAUAGGUACUCUCACUAGAAGUGGCCGUUAGAUAUUCAUCUGUCCACGGUUAGACAAACUGUCUAUAAAUGGAGAUGAUUUAGUACUACAGGUACUCUCUCUAGAAGUGGCCGUUAGAUAUUAAUCUGUCCACAGUUAGACAAACUGUCUAUAUAUGGAGAUGAUUUAGUACUAUAGGUACUCUCUCUAGAAGUGGCCGUUAUAUAUUCAUCUGUCCACAGUUAGACAAACUGUCUAUAAAUGGAGAUGAUUUAGUACUAUAGGUACUCUCACUAGAAGUGGCCGUUAGAUAUUCAUCUGUCCACAGUUAGACAAACUGUCUAUAAAUGGAGAUGAUUUAGUACUAUAGGUACUCUCACUAGAAGUGGCCGUUAGAUAUUCAUCUGCCCACAGUUAGACAAACUGUCUAUAAAUGGAGAUGAUUUAGUACUAUAGGUACUCUCACUAGAAGUGGCCGUUAGAUAUUCAUCUGUCCACAGUUAGACAAACUGUCUAUAAAUGGAGAUGAUUUAGUACUAUAGGUACUCUCACUAGAAGUGGCCGUUAGAUAUUCAUCUGUCCACAGUUAGACAAACUGUCUAUAAAUGGAGAUGAUUUAGUACUAUAGGUACUCUCACUAGAA